ensembl:lncRNA LINC00700 long intergenic non-protein coding RNA 700
GACUUCCGUUCUGGAGGCCGGAAGUCCAAGAUGGAGGGUCCCGCAGAUUCCGUGUCUGAUUGUUGCAGCAGAUCCAACUGAAGGAUACACCAACCAUUUUAAUCGGACACAAAAGAACAGGCUGUCCUCACCUGACCACCACCCACAACAACCGAACUUUAAUCAGACACAAAAGAACAGGCUGUCACCUGACCACCACCCACAACAACCGAAGGGCAGGGUGAGUCCAUUUAGAGUCUCGAGAAUUUCAGACGUGCAUUCACUUUAAAGUGAUUUGGGAGAUUAUUUUGAUAGAAGUUUCCAGUGAAGGAAAUAAUAUGUAUUUUUUUCUAACAUGACUUGUGUGUGCAUGAGCAGGACAAUGUGCUUCCCUAGGUGAGGAGAAAGAGUAGAGCCAACAGUAGUUAUCUACUCUGCCUCUGAGCACACCUUGGAAAUAAACCACCCAUGAGAAGAAGUCCCCCUUCUGAUGUGGGGGGUUUGGAAGAGACGCAGGGACAGUGUUCACAGUGGAUGGAGAGAAGUAACUGCACUACGCAGUGGAUGGGGCAAAGUAACUGCACCCGCCGGGAAGGAAGGAACUGCUGUGGACAUGUUCUUCCUGUUGGGAUGAGCCACCGCCAACUUGAACAUUCAUCGUCUAUGGUGAAAGUAGACAUUAAUCAUCAAUAACUUGCCAAGUUCUCCCUCCAAAUAUAUUCCAGACCCCAGUUGCCAUAAACACCUUGUGGCCUCCUUCCUACACACAAUGAGAAUCCUGUAUCUUGUUCCACGUUUAGCCUUGGCCACCUACAGACACAGAAGCACACUGUUAGUUCAAAUUUAUUGUCUGUGGGCCAAGGCACCAUGCACAUAAUUAAAUCAGUUUUUUAAUACUUUAAAAUCAAAAGGUAAGAUAUUUCAGACACUCGGUUAUGAAAUAGACUUUCUUAGAAAAAGGACAUAAUUCUCUUGAAAUCUGCCCUUAGGUUUUCAGAUAUUAAAUUGGAAGCUGGAAUGAGAACACUCAUUUGCAGGAUUUCAUGCAGGGAUAAUGAACUAACCCCCAUCCUCUUGUUCUUCUCUGUGCUGUUAGACAAACAGUUAAUUUUUUAAAAUCAUAUCCCCACCUUGCAUUGGAUUUUAUCUUUCUCAUUUCCUCAUUAAAAACCUCCACAUUUUGUUAAUAAUACCAGAAAGUCACUACUAAUCAAUUCCCAGAAAUCUCCAGUGAGAUUUGCCUGUUUCUACUCAACUUCUGAAUUCUGCAAUGCCCAGGCUGUCUCUCUAGAGAGUCUGACCUGGGCUUUCCUGGCCUUACGCAAGUGAUGGAGCUCAUGACUCCAGCCAUUAACCCCUUCCCUGGACUCCUGUCUGAUUUCUUCCACUUUAUCUUGUUCAAAGGAUGCAGUAGGCAAAGAGGCUAAAAUGGACACUUUGUAACAGACACACUGGAAUUCCAGUGACUGUCCUGCUCCUUCCCUCUUCAGCCCUCUUGAGAAACUUAGUUAACCUCUUUAAAAAACUAAUUUCCUCAAGUGGCAAAAUAGGAUGAUGAUAGUGACAGACACAUAGAUAUUUCCUUCUGAGUUUAUUUCUUCCUCUUGUUUCCUAAGUGUGGAUUUUCCUUAAGAUUCAGUUUGAUCCUUCCUGAACCUACCUUUCAGAACCUUCUGGAGAGCUUUGUAAAAGCAAGCAUCUUGGGGUUUUCAGCCCAUUACUGAAUCAGAAUCCCUCCAGAUGGGGCUGAGAUCCAUGUUUGAAACCCGUUGCUUUAGCUGACGUUGUGCCCUAUUCAUCCUUCCCGUCCCAGGGCUGUGACCGCUACCUCCAUGGUGUGGCUCUGCACAUUGGGGGUCCCACAUACUGGGGGUCCCGCUCUCUCUGCCCCUGAACCAAAUGCAUCCUCAGGUCACACAGACCCUGCCUGUCUGCAGACUAUUAGCACAUAUUUUCCUUUUCUGUCACAUUUUAUGUCAAUUUGUUUAGCAUAAUAUAAUUCUAUGCAAUGUAAUCUUCCAAGCAUCCUGAAAUAAAACCAUGCCUCCCA